UACGUAGGGCGCGAGCGUUGUCCGGAAUUAUUGGGCGUAAAGAGCUCGUAGGCGGCUUGUCACGUCGGUUGUGAAAGCCCGGGGCUUAACCCCGGGUCUGCAUUCGAUACGGGCUAGCUAGAGUGUGGUAGGGGGAGAUCGGAAUUCCUGGUGUAGCGGUGAAAUGCGCAGAUAUCAGGAGGAACACCGGUGGCGAAGGCGGAUCUCUGGGCCAUUACUGACGCUGAGGAGCGAAAGCGUGGGGAGCGAACAGG
rnacentral:rRNA from 1 species